rnacentral:rRNA from 1 species
GACGAACCGUGCGAACGUUAUUCGGAAUCACUGGGCUUAAAGCGCGUGUAGGCGGGCCGGCACGUCGGCGGCUGAAAUCCCCCGGCUCAACCGGGGAAGUGGCCUCGAUACGACCGGCCUGGAGGGGGGUAGGGGGCGCCGGAACUUCCGGUGGAGCGGUGAAAUGCGUUGAGAUCGGAAGGAACGCCCGUGGCGAAAGCGGGCGCCUGGACCCCACCUGACGCUGAGACGCGAAAGCCAGGGGAGCGAACGGG